rnacentral:tRNA from 1 species
GCCGCCGUAUCUCAAUCGGAUCAGAGUUCCGCGCUUCGAACGCGGAGGAUGCGGGUUCGAGUCCUGCCGGCGGCG